CGUGCGCCCGGGGUUUCAGAGGCCCGUGCACCUGGUAGUGAGAAGCUGAGGCCCAGGAGCCGUUAGGUCCCAAAGGGAGAGCCAGGCCCAGGCUCCCGGUGGGCGUGGACAGGCCGGGGGUGGGGGCACCUCCGAGGCCACUCUGCAGCCAAGCCUCCCGGAAGCACUCUGAUCAAAGAGGCUGAGCCGAUCCGCUGGGCGGUGGCUCCAGAUCCCCCCUGGAUGGAGGGGCCUCUUUAACCAGGAGCCUCUGAGCGGGGGCACCCCGAGUGGGUCAGGGCUGGGUGGGUACAGGCAGGAGGUGCUCUGGGGGACCUGCUUUCGAUUCACGGCAUUCAUUUCUCUCUUUCUUAUUUGCUUCUAGGAGUAUAUCCACGUUCUUCUAUGUUUCAAAGCAGUGCUCGAAGAAAUGUCCAACAGUUGAACAGCUCGGUCUAGUAGUCAAGUCCUUUGUCCUCAUAAAGCCAUGCCUUUUCUGUAUACGAGAUGCGGCUCAGACAUGUUAUGUAACAGAAGCACCGGAGAUCCGGGAUCCAGAUUUUAGACAAUCUGGGAGAGCGAGCGACGUGAGGAGCAGCAGUGCCUGGCUGGUGCCCCUCCUCAUGCUGUCCCCGGGGCUAGCGGGCCUCAGGUUGCCGUGACCCACAGAGCAUGGCUCGGGCCCACCUUCUGCAGGUGGCACAGAUGACGUGGACUCGCUGCUCAUGCUUGGAACCUGUGGCAUUAAACUUGUUUUCCGCCCACUGACUCACCGUCUGCCUCUGAGGGGCCUUAGGACGGGGGGGCGGGGCCCACACCCAGUUGGUCAGAGCCCACAGCCUGCCUUGGGGUGAGUCCAAACCCUCUGACAGUGAUCCCGCUGACGAGUGUGUCUCUUGGAACACCAGCCUUGUCACUCUUGAUUUCUGACCCUCUUUCCUCGUCUUGGCCUUUGAGGGCGUCAGUGCUGGAGGAGGGGAGCCCGAGUGUCCCCUGUGAAGAGUAGUGGUCGCAUGCUUCUGGGCUUCCUUGGGAGGGCCCAGGGCCAGGAAGACAGGAUGAUGUGAGCGUGAGAGCCCCAGGAGGGAAGGAGUCCCCGGCGUGGGGUGGGGCCAUCAUCCCGGGGACAGCCUUCCUUUGAUGGGGGCGGCACCCCCUCGGCUGCUCGCACUCAGCUCCCCCACCCGGACUCCAGGAGACGG
rnacentral:lncRNA from 1 species